CACCUCUAGCAUUAUUAGUAUUAGAGGCACUGCCUGCCCAGUGACAUUAGUUUAACGGCCGCGGUAUCCUGACCGUGCAAAGGUAGCAUAAUCAUUUGUUCCUUAAUUAGGGACUCGUAUGAAUGGCCCCACGAGGGUUUGACUGUCUCUUACUUUCAAUCAGUGAAAUUGACCUUCCCGUGAAGAGGCGGGAAUACAAAAAUAAGACGAGAAGACCCUAUGGAGCUUAAAUUAAAGAGUUCAACAAAAUCCAAACCUAAUCCAAUAGGAAAUAAUAACAUUUUAACUGGACAACAAAUUUUGGUUGGGGUGACCUCGGAGUAUAACAAAACCUCCGAGCGAUUUUUACCAAGACUUACCUGUCAAGGUAUAUUACUUAUUGAUCCAAUCAUAUUGAUCAACGAAACAAGUUACCCUAGGGAUAACAGCGCAAUCCUAUUUAAGAGUUCAUAUCAACAAUAGGGUUUACGACCUCGAUGUUGGAUCAGGACUCCCAAAUGGUGCAGCAGCUAUUAAAGGUUCGUUUGUUCAACG
rnacentral:rRNA from 1 species